ACAUUUACUGUUAUUUUUGCAAGUGAUUAUAUUUUCGUUAACUAAUUAAAGAGUCUAUUCACAAGGAAGGGUAUGUUUUUUAUAUCAUAGAAAAUAAGAAUGUAGCAUUAGUUAUUGGAAGAAGUAAAACAUAUUUCCUGAAACAUAAAAGAAGGUGGUGGGAAACAUGCAAAUCAUUUAUCGCUCGAGAAUGGACUCCAGGCUAGGUGGAGUCCAAAUAUAUUUUUGUCGACAAAAUAAAACACGGGGAAAAAACAAAGAAAGAAAAAUCAUACGAAGAAAAUUAGUCUAAAGGCAAAUUGCUGGUCACUUUAAACCCUAGUUCAGGCAUUCCGAAAAACAAAAUUUUAAAAUUCAAGUCAUG
rnacentral:lncRNA from 1 species